rnacentral:tmRNA from 2 species
GGGGGCGUAAAGGUUUCGACGGGGACCGUGCAGCUCUGUAAGCGGGCCGUGUGGGUGAAAACACGUUAAUCGUCACACCUAAAUAUAAACGCUAACAAGAAUACUAGUCGUUUUGAACUCUGCGCAGCGUAAUUAAAUUACGCUGUCCGCUGCGGCAGAUCGCCGCGCUCUGACGCAGUGCUAACUUAAGCGGUGGACUUGUUCGGCGUUUGCCUCGGCGCCGAAGAGGUUUUAUGAGGCUGGCUUCCGGUAAAGGCUGACUGUUGCCGCUGCCGGAAGGAGAGAAAGAACAGUCUACGCUCGUAGAAAGCAGAGGGAAUCGAUUUUCGGACAGGGGUUCGAUUCCCCUCGCCUCCACCA